rnacentral:rRNA from 1 species
UACAGAGGGGGGCAAACGUUUGUUCGGAAUUACUGGGCGUAAAGCGUGCGCAGGCGGUUAUUUAAGUCAGGUGUGAAAGCCCUGGGCUUAACCUAGGAAUUGCGCUUGAGACUGGAUAGCUUGGAGUGCGGCAGAGGGAGGUGGAAUUCCACGUGUAGCAGUGAAAUGCGUAGAGAUGUGGAGGAACACCGAUGGCGAAGGCAGCCUCCUGGGCCAGCACUGACGCUCAUGCACGAAAGCGUGGGGAGCAAACAGG